rnacentral:misc_RNA from 1 species
UUUCCGUAGGUGAACCUGCGGAAGGAUCAUUAUUGGAGUUUGAAACUUCAGGCUGCUGCUGGCUCUCCUCGGAGGGCAUGUGUAAGCUUGUUGUCCAUUAUUUCGCCCACUGUGCACAAAUUGUAGACCUUUCAGUAGGCCUAUGUUGUUUUUCACAAUCUCUGAAUGUAAUAGAAUGGUUUUGAAUCUUGGGAAAUACAAUACAACUUUCAGCAACGGAUCUCUUGGCUCUC